AUGCCGCCCUCCCGGGAGCAGCCCGCCGCCGCCGCCGCCGAUGGCGGCGUCGAGGAGAAUGUGAUGGCCAUCCUCGACUCCUUCGUCGGCAUCAAGGAUUCCCGUGACCUCCACGACGACCGAGCCGCUUUUUUGGAGGCCGUGCGCUCCGUCGGCCUGGCCGGCGACAAACCCUCAACCCCCACUGAGAGAAUGUACGAUGCUGUCUUUCAGAUCUUUCAAAGCAGCAGUUCUUUGGAGCUAACCAUUGCAAGUUUCCAUCUCUUAAUGGAGCUGGGCAAGCAAUAUCCAAGAGUAUAUUUGACAAAUUUUGGUUCCCAUCCAACUCUAGUUAUAGUUAAAGAGUCAUGGUCACCAUUUCUCCUUGGCAACAAUGUAGCUUCUGGUGAGAUUGGGAGAAGCACCAGUCGCUCAGAUCAUCUCUUUGAUUCUUUGAGAUUUUCUUUGUUGACCGAGGCUAUGGUUGAAGCAUCGAAUGACACAGGUGCUAAUAGUGGGCUUAAGCAUAUAGAGAACAUGGUGCUGUUCCAAUAUCUCGUUCGCACACUUGAGGCUGAUUUUAUACCUCGUCAUAUUGCAUAUAAAGAGUCAUUAGACUGGGUGAUCAUCAGGGAAUCUGUUUUAAACGUGCUUCUGGGAUCGCGAAAACUGGUAUUCAAAAUGUUUGUCAAGAACUGCAUAUCCCUUCUGAACCAACAUCAGCGUGAAAUUGAAGAUGACAUAUCUUCUAAAUCAGCAUCUGAUUUAGAUUCUUCCUUAACCUUUUCAUUGCUUGAGUUUGAAAGAGAAGCGCUUAUAUCCGUGAAAAAACUUUUCAUUAUGGUUAUAAACCUUGACUUGAUUAGGAAAGAAGCAGACAAAUUGGGCCUGACUUCAAGGGCUGAUGGCCUCAGGAAUCCUAUCCUGGAAGUUAUUCUAGAGGAGCUAACUUACAACACAAUCUACUUAUCCCCAUUUCUUUUGGCCUUCACGGAGUGUAAGUGGAAAUUGCAGAUUAUCCUGCUGUACUUCUCAAGAUAUCAAGUUAAGUCUGCAGUACGUACUCGGAGGUCAAAUAAUUCUCAACAAGAUUUGACAGUGGAAAGCGCUCUGAGUAUGUUUUCAACAGAAGCAAGCGCAAAGGCCAUGGUUAAGAUGAUGUGUCCAGAAGUUGCUCAGCUUCUCUUAGCACAUGCAUACCAGGUCUGCCUAUCCGUUGAUGGUGAUUCUAGCGAAGCUAAUGAUGCAGCAAAAAUGAUGGGAGCGUCUCUUCUCGAGAUAUCUUGCAAGUUUGUGUCGGCUUUCCAGAAUCUGAGAAAAAUCAACACGAACAUUCAGAUUUCACAGUUUGAGAAAGAAGCUUUGUUCACUGCAGCAACACUGACAAGAAAACUGCAGAAUGAGUGA
rnacentral:rRNA from 1 species